ACUCAGAUCACGUAAUUUUUUAAUAGUCGAACAGACUAAAUCCUCUUAGCUUCUUCACCAAAAAUAAAAAUUAAUUCAACAUCGAGGUCACAAACUUAAUUAUUAAUAAGAACUUGUUAAUUAAAUUAUGCUGUUAUCCCUAGAGUAACUUCCAUUAAAAAUAUUUUACUUUUUCAAAAAUUUUUUACUUCAAAUGUUACCCCAACCAAAAAUUAUAUAAUUAUAAGCUUCUAGGGUCUUCUCGUCCCAAAAUCUAAUAAAAGCAUUUUUACUUUUAAUUUAAAUUCAAUACAAAUCAAAUAAAACUAUCUCUUUAGUAUAAACCCUUCAUCCCAGUUCUCAAUUAAAAAA
rnacentral:rRNA from 1 species